rnacentral:rRNA from 1 species
CUAUGACAGUGGGAUAGCCUCGGGAAACCGGGAUUAAUACCGCAUAAAAUCGUAGAAACACAUGUUUUAACGGUCAAAGAUUUAUCGGUCAUAGAUGGGCUCGCGUCUGAUUAGCUAGUUGGUGAGAUAACAGCCCACCAAGGCGACGAUCAGUAGCCGGUCUGAGAGGAUGAACGGCCACAUUGGAACUGAGACACGGUCCAA